CAGUAGCCGCGGUAAAACGGAGGGUGCAAGCGUUAAUCGGAAUUACUGGGCGUAAAGCGCACGCAGGCGGUCUGUCAAGUCAGAUGUGAAAUCCCCGGGCUUAACCUGGGAACUGCAUUUGAAACUGGCAGGCUAGAGUCUUGUAGAGGGGGGUAGAAUUCCAGGUGUAGCGGUGAAAUGCGUAGAGAUCUGGAGGAAUACCGGUGGCGAAGGCGGCCCCCUGGACAAAGACUGACGCUCAGGUGCGAAAGCGUGGGGAGCAAACAGGAUUAGAUACCCCAGUAGUCCCUGUCUCUUAUAC
rnacentral:rRNA from 1 species